rnacentral:rRNA from 1 species
GAUUAAGUUAUUAAGGGCGCACGGUGGAUGCCUUGGCACUAGAAGCCGAUGAAGGACGUUACUAACGACGAUAUGCUUUGGGUAGCUGUAAGUAAGCGUUGAUCCAGAGAUUUCCGAAUGGGGGAACCCAGCAUGAGUUAUGUCAUGUUAUCGACAUGUGAAUUUAUAGCAUGUCAGAAGGCAGACCCGGAGAACUGAAACAUCUUAGUACCCGGAGGAAGAGAAAGAAAAAUCGAUUCCCUGAGUAGCGGCGAGCGAAACGGGAAGAGCCCAAACCAACAAGCUUGCUUGUUGGGGUUGUAGGACACUCUAUACGGAGUUACAAAAGAACAUGUUAGACGAAUCAUCUGGAAAGAUGAAUCAAAGAAGGUAAUAAUCCUGUAGUCGA